rnacentral:lncRNA from 1 species
CCAGGUCCUGCAGAGCCUGGAGGGGAUCCCGCUGCCAACAGGUGAGAACAGACAGGUGAGAGGGGACAGGUGAGAGGGGACAGGUGAGGACAGGUGAGGACAGGUGAGAACAGGUGAGACAUGGACAGGUGAGACAGGUGAGAGGGGACAGGUGAGACAUGGACAGGUGAGACAUGGACAGGUGAGACAGGUGAGACAUGGACAGGUGAGACAUGGACAGGUGAGGGGACAGGUGAGACAGGUGAGGACAGGUGAGAACAGACAGGUGAGACAUGGACAGGUGAGAAUGGACAGGUGAGAGGGGACAGGUGAGACAGGUGAGGACAGACAGGUGAGAACAGGUGAGACAUGGACAGGUGAGGGACAGGUGGGACAGGGACAGGUGAGAGGGGACAGGGACAGAUGGACACAGUGACAAUGCCAAGGUGACAAUGACAGAGGUGACAGUGACAGAGGUGACAAAGGUGACAGUUCCAGCUCACCACGUCCACCUGCAGCAGCAGCACCUGGAUGGGGACAGGUGAGGGACAGGUGGGACAGGGACAGGUGAGGGGACAGGUGGGACAGGGACAGGUGCGAGGGGACAGGGACACAGUGACACGGUGACAAUGCCAAGGUGACAAUGCCAAGGUGACAGAGGUGACAGUGACAGAGGUGACAGAGGUGACAGUGCCAGCUCACCACGUCCACCUGCAGCAGCAGCACCUGGAGGCCGAAGCUCCGCCCCAGA